GCAUUCCUAUGGCUCAGUCAGAAAAACAUUGAGCUAGCAACACAAAUAUCAUGGGUUCGAUCUCCAGGGAAAGCA